rnacentral:rRNA from 1 species
GGAAGGAAAGGGAGCGCCAGGCUGCCCUCCGGAUAACACUUUCUUAAUGGAGAUGGCUAUGGGAAAUCCGAUAGCCUUUUCUUGUCCUAUAUAACGGUUAUUGGAAGAGGUGGGUAUCUCCGCAUCCUUUGGGGGCACGGGGGCACGGAGCCUUGCAAAAGAGGCGAUUCAAGCGAAUGAAUGGGUUUUAUAUAGGAAGUUUCACUGCUUUGAAUAAUUUGUUUUAUAGGAGGCGAAGUCAAAAGAAUCUUUUCCAAUAUACUUUUUUUUCUAUAAUAAGAAUGAUGAAUUCGGAAUACUGGCUUGCUCUCUUACAGAAAAUACAUUUCGAUCUUCCAUCUUCCACCCGCAUCUUCC